rnacentral:rRNA from 1 species
CGAACGCUGGCGGCGCGCCUAAGUACGAUGCAAGUCGAGCGAGAAGACGUAGCAAUGCGUUUGUAAAGCGGCGAACGGGUGAGGAAUACAUGGGUAACCUACCCUCGAGUGGGGAAUAACUAGCCGAAAGGUUAGCUAAUACCGCAUACGAUUCCUGGACUGCGGUUCGGGAAGGAAAGCGAUACCGUGGGUAUCGCGCUCUUGGAUGGGCUCAUGUCCUAUCAGCUUGUUGGUGAGGUAAUGGCUCACCAAGGCUUCGACGGGUAGCUGGUCUGAGAGGACGAUCAGCCACACUGGCACUGCGACACGGGCCAGACUCCUACGGGAGGCAGCAGUAAGGAAUAUUGCGCAAUGGACGAAAGUCUGACGCAGCGACGCCGCGUGGGGGAAUGAAGGCCUUCGGGUUGUAAACCUCUUUCAGUAGGGAAGAAGCGAAAGUAGACGGUACCGUAAGAAGGAGCACCGGCUAACUAUGCGCCAGCAG